ACGAUUUUACUACAUUUUCACUGUCAUCAGUGAUUUCAUGUGGCUUGCUUUUCGAGCACAUGUUUCUAACAUUCAUAAUUGAACAAUCUAUCGACCACAGUGUCGCGUUCAUUUAUUUUCCUACCUACUAGUAUAUCGCGGCUUUGAUGUCUAUACAGUAGUGGUGUUUUAUUGUUCCUGUGUCCUGAAUAGUGCUGAACUCAAAAUUCUGUGUUAUAGGCAAUCAAGGAUUACCCGUUUGAAGAUCGCACGGAAUCCAUUUGCAAAGGGUUUUCGAGAAGCAGGAAAAUGCAGAAGUUCUCUGGAAGCCAUGAUGGCCAGCUUUCGGGAUGUGCUUGACGACAGAAAGAACAAAACACCUCCGCUCAAGAGGAAACUGUCCGAGAUGGACGAGGAAUGCACAGAUGCAAAGUCAACAGACAAUCACGUUUCAAUAUCUGCCAGGCAAUCGUCCUUCUCGACAAACAACUUGGCAUGGCUAAAUAUAUCCGGGAGCUGCUACUCAGAGUCACCAUCUGUACCAGCAUUCUACCCGUCGUUUCGCGGACCCGUUUCAACGCAGGGCUUGCAAACCAACACCAUAUCUGCCAGCCCUCAUUCAACUUUAUCAACAGGUUUCGACUAUACGAAAUAGGGAAUGCGUCCAGUUUUCAUCUCAAACCAAAUAUUCCCUCCUCGCGAAUACAGAAAGUGCAUCCAGCAUUCAGACUGUCUUCGUUCGCCCAUAUUGAUCCACUCAUUCUGGACGCUUAUUACACAAGUUUACUAUCAUACCCAUCUAUGCAAAAUAUUUUGAUGUGUCCUCAAUCAAUGAAACCAGUCAAUCACAUCGACACGAAACACGAUGAGUUCGGACACAAUGUGUCAAACGCCUUUGAUUCAAUUCACGAUGACGGAGAGAUUGUUUUGAACUUAUGUACAACGUAACGUUUUCGUCUAUUACAAAUACUUUUAUAAAUAUUU